rnacentral:rRNA from 1 species
UGGGGAAUUUUGGACAAUGGGCGCAAGCCUGAUCCAGCCAUGCCGCGUGCGGGAAGAAGGCCUUCGGGUUGUAAACCGCUUUUGUCGGGGAGAAAAGCCUUGGGUUAAUACCCUGGGGUGAUGACGGUACCCGAAGAAUAAGCACCGGCUAACUACGUGCCAGCAGCCGCGGUAAUACGUAGGGUGCAGGCGUUAAUCGGAAUUACUGGUCGUAAAGCGUGCGCAGGCGGUUGUGUAAGACAGAUGUGAAAUCCCCGGGCUCAACCUGGGACCUGCAUUUGGGACUGUAUAGCGAGAGUGCGGUAGAGGGAGAUGGAAUUCCAGGUGUAACAGUGAAAUGCGUAGAUAUGCAGAGGAACACCGAUGGCGAAGGCAAUCCACUGGACCUGUACUGACGCUCAUGAACGAAAGCAUGAGGAGCAAACA